GGCCCACAUAUUCGAUAGAUAGUUAUACAUAUGUAUUAUCCAUUCAAGUUUUCGCAAGCACAGAUAGACAGACAGACGACGAGACAACGGACAGACAACCGGAAUUUAACUCGUCUAACUCGAUCAUUUCUAGCGAUAACGGUGGUUAGUACAUGCCGAAGAAUAUCUGCGCGAACGGUUGCCAGGUGGUGAACUUUUCUUUUUCCACAAAACUAAUACGGCUGUGUAAGCUGACGUUGAGCAACACCAAAAACUCCGUCAAGAUCGGGAAGGACCUCUCCGAGCCGUUCGAUACCAAACGAAGCAAAGCAAAUGGGUCUGGCAGUGAACAAGGGCUCCUGUAAUCAAACAAACAGUCGUCGCACUCGCUACAAGCUCUCACGAUACUGUUGACAGUCAUAACUUUGAAGUCGUAGAUAAUUUCGUCUAUCUUGGAACCAGUAUAAAUACCACCAACAAUGUCAGCCUGGAAAUAUAACACAGAAUAACUUUUGCCAGCAGGUGCUACAUCGGACUGAGUAGACAAUUGACAAACAAAAACCGAACUCUAUAAGUCACUCAUUAUUCCCGUUCUGCUAUAUGGAACAGAGGCAUGGACGAUGACAUCUGAUGAGUCGACGUUACGAGUUUCCGAGAGAAAGAUUCUGCGGAAGAUGUAUGGUCCUUUGCGCAUUGGCAACGGCGAGUAUCGCAAGCGAUGUAACGAUGAGCUGUACGUUAUAUACGACCACAUUAACAUAGUUUAGCGAAUUAAGAGACAGCGGCUACGCUCUCUAGGUCAUGUCGUCCAACUCCAGCUCUGAAAAUAUUUGACGCAAUACCCGCACUUGGAAUCUCUUAUUGGCGUCAAACAGAACGACUGGCGCGCUGUUGUAGAAAAAGAUAUGUAUUGAUAUCUAUCUCAUAAUAAACAGCGUUAUUAAAAGAAUCUAAUUUUUUAUUCGCUUAACUGUGACUUCAUGUAAACCGUAACUCAAUUAUAAAAUUAAAUACAUUAAAUAAAAAAUAGUCUAUGUACAAUAAAUUUUAGAUUAUCUAGAA